UCGAAACUAAAUUUGACACCUGCAUUUGGACCGAAGGAGCAGUUUUAUAAAUACACAGUUCUAUAACUGGAGUAGUUUCUGUUUCUGGUACCUGCCACUAUCCGCAACCAAAUUAUCUUUUAAGUAUACCAUAAAGUGUGAGAAAUUUCCAUGCAUUUAUGGUGAGUAAUUAACAUUUAGCUGAAAUGUAUGGUCUAGUUAAGUUGUGCGGAUCUCAUACCAAGUUUUUCUUUGAAGCUAAUGUUCUGUUGUUUGGCUAUUCUGCAUAUUGAAGUUCUGGUUUUUGUCUUGUAGAUUGUUCCCACUGAAUACAGGUAUUUAUCAAAAGAAGUUUUGCCAACUAAUCAGUUCUCUGUAACAGAAUACUUUUCUCCCAUCAAUGAGUUUGAUCGGACAUGGCCAGCUGUAUAUUUCUUAUAUGAUUUGUCACCAAUCACUGUGACCAUCAGAGAAGAACGUCGCAGUUUUCUACACUUUAUUACUCGGCUCUGUGCAGUUCUGGGUGGUACAUUUGCCUUGACAGGCAUGCUAGAUAAAUGGAUGUACAGGUUCCUUGAAGCAGUUAUGAAGAAAAACAGCAGAAGUCUUGUGCGAUAAUUGAACGUUACCUGGUGACAUGUUGCACCUACAAAGUAAUAUUCAGCUGAGGAAAUCCCAAAUUCCCAGAGCACUAUACGUGGAAGCUUUUAGCGAACAAGGGAGAUCGAUAAAUAAGGCUUGUGUAUAAUUUAUUCCCCGUGUAUUUUGUUUUUCUAACUUUCUUUUUAUCCUUUAAUUUUGAUAGCACUUUACACAAAUAUACCAUGGUGUAUCCAAGCCAUUCUAGCUGUCUGAGAAAAGAUUUACUUACUGGUCAUUUUAACAUAAUGUAGUUUGUAGUUCAAAGGAAAUGAACAUUUCCAGGUUUUCUUGCUCAAUUUUAGUUGAAAAACUUGCUGUAACUGAGAGAGAUGGACUUCUAUGUGAUGCUUCUUUAUUAUGUAA